AUCGCAGCAACGCAGGUGGGAGCCCCAAGUCACUCCUGCCUGCCCCAGCCUGCUCAGGGCGCUACAGAGCUACAAUGCAGGGACUGAAGGGUUUGAUAGUGACUUGAAUGAUGCUGCCUUGGGAACACAGAAUUAGGAGGAGGAACGCUUCUCUUUAGACUCAGGACAACUACGGUGAAACCAGCGUCACCUGCCCUUAAGAGAGACACCACGGAGCAGCACCCAGCGAUAGCCCUUGUGUGGCCUUUACCAUGGACCAACGCACACCCAGGGAAACAGAUGAGGGCUCCCCGUCUGCCACAUUGAAGAAUAGACACGGUAAGAUUUUAGUAUUUCCUUGUUGCUAAUGAAAACUUUUGAAGUUCUCCUUUCCGCUGGCUUUUGGGUUGUGAUUUCCCAGAUGCUCUAUGUGCCUCCCCCGUCUGUGUCG